rnacentral:rRNA from 1 species
GGAGUUAAGAAAUGUAGGUGCGAUAAUACCGUGCUUAUUUGACAAAGGCUCCAAAGGAAGCCACGGCUAACUCUGUGCCAGCAGCCGCGGUAAUACAGAGGUGGCAAGCGUUGUUCGGAAUUAUUGGGCGUAAAGAGCACGUAGGUGGAUUUGUUAGUCAGAUGUGAAAGCCUUUCGUUCAACGGAGGAAUUGCAUCUGAAACUACAAACCUUGAGUAUAGGAGGGGAGAGUGGAACUUCUGGU